UCAUGGUGCAUCGGAAAUGAAUCCGACUAGGAACCAUGAGGUUGUGGUUCGAUCCCUGGCCUUGCUCAGUGGAUUAAGGAUCUGGCAUUGCUGUGGCUGUGGUGUAGGACAGCAGCUACAGCUCUGAUUGGACCAUGGGUGCCGCCCUAAAAAGCCAAAAAAAAAAAAAAAAAAGUGAUUAGAGGUGAAGUUAAUUUUUAAAAUAUAUUUCCUUUGACCCAAUAUAUCUAAAAUAUUUCAACAUGUAAUCAGUAUACAAAUUACUUAGAAAGCUUUAAAAUUAUUAAUGCAGUUUUUUGUACUAAUCUUUGAAAUCUUGUAUUUUGCACCAACAGUAUUGUGUGAUCCUCUGUUGGGUGCAUAUAUUAUUUAAAGUUGUUUUAUCUUCUUGGAUUGAUCCUUUGAUGAUUAUGUAAUGUUCUUCCUUAUCUCUUAAAAUAGUCUUCAUUUUAAGGUCUAUUUUGUUUGAUAUGAGUAUUGCUACUCUAACUUUUUUUGAUUCCCAUUUGCAUGGAAUGUUUUUUUCCAUCCUCUCACUUUCAAUUUGUAUGUGUCCCUAGAAAUGAAGUGGAUCUCUUGAAGACAACAUAUAUAUGGGUCUUGUUUUUGUAUCCAUUCAGCCAGGCUAUGUCUUUUGGUUGGGGCAUUUAGUCCAUUAACAUUUAAGGUCAUUAUUGAUAUGAAUGUUCUUAUUGCCAUUUUAUUAACUGUUUUGGAUUUGGUUUUGUUGCUUUUGUUUUCUUCCCUUCUCUUGUUCUCUCCUCUUGUCGUUUGAUGAUUACCUUUAGUGUUGUUUUUGAGUUGAUUUUCCUUAUUUGUUUGUGUAUCCGCGGUAGAUUUUUGGUUUGCAGUUGCCCUGAAGUUUUGAUAUAGGAGUCUAUAUAUAUACGAGAUUGUUUUAAGUUGUUGGUCUCUUAAUUUCAAGUGCAUCUCAGUGUCCUGCAUUUGUACCCUCCUCACGAGUUCUGAUUUUGGUUGCAUAAUUGUGCAUGCAUAAUUUGGCAUCUUUACUGUAUAUGUACCUUAACUGGUGAGCCUUGUCAUUUGUGGUAUUUUUGUUUCUACUUGUGGCCUUUUCUUGUCUGCUUAGAGAAUUUCCUUUUAGUGUUUGUUGUAAAGCUGAUUUAGUGUUGCUGAAUUCUCUUAGCUUUUGCUUAUCUGCAAAGCUUUUGAUUUCUCCUUCAAAUCUGAAUGAGAGCCUUGCUGGGUAAAGUAAUUUUGGUUGGUGGUUUUUUUCCUUUCAUCAUGUUAAAUAUAUCAUGCCACUCCCUUCUGACCUGUAGUUUCUGCUGAAAAAUCUGCUGAUAACCUUAUCGGGGUUCCCUUUUAUGUUACUUGUUUCUUUGCCCUAGCUGCUUUCAAUAUUUUCUUUUCGUCUUUAAUAUUGGUCAGUUUGAUUAAUAUGUGUCUUGGGGUAUUUCUCCCUGGGUUUAUUUUGUACGGUACUUGUUGUGCUUCCUGGAUUUAAUUGGGUUGUUCCUUUCCCAUGUUAGGGAAGUUUUUGGCUAUUAUCUCUUGAAUAUUUUUUCUGUUCCUUUCUUUCUUCUCCUUCUGGCAUUCCUAUAAUAUGGAUGUUGGUGUGCUUAAUGUUGUCCCAGAGUUCUCUGAGACUCUCUUCUUUUUUUUUUUUUUUAAAUUUUUAAAAAAUUUUUAUUUAUUUAUUUAUUUUUGUCUUUUUGUCUUUUGUUGUUGUUGUUGUUGUUGUUGCUAUUUCUUGGGCCGCUCUGCGGCAUAUGGAGGUUCCCAGGCUAGGGGUUGAAUCGGAGCUGUAGCCACCAGCCUACGUCAGAGCCACAGCAACGCGGGAUCUGAGCCGCGUCUGCAACCUACACUACAGCUCACGGCAACGCCGGAUCGUUAACCCACUGAGCAAGGGCAGGGACCGAACCCGCAACCUCAUGGUUCCUAGUCGGAUUCAUUAACCACUGCGCCACGAAGGGAACUCCUCUUCAUUUCUUUUCAAUCUUUUUUCUCUGUUCUGUUCCACAUCAGUGAUUUCCACUAGUUUGUCCUCCACCUCGCUUAUCUAUUCUUCUGCCUCCCGUAUUCUGCUGUUGGUUGCUUCUAAUGAAUUCUUUAUUUCAGUUAUUGUAUUUUACAUCUCUGCUUGCUUCAGUUUUAAGUCUUGUAUUUCUUUGCUCAGUGUUUGCUGUAAAUUAUCCGUCUUUGCCUCCCUCCAGUUUAUUCCCAAUGUCUUGCAUCAUCUUCAGCAUCAACAGUCUAAAGUCUUUUUCCUGGAAGCUGAUAAUCUCCACAUCACUUAGCUGUUUCUUCUGGGGUUUUUUCUUUCUCCCUUAUCUGAGUUAUGGUUCUCUGUCUUUUCAUUUUUAUGGGUUUUUGCUGUGGUGUCCUUUUUGCAGACAAUAGCGUUGUAGCCUGACUUACUAGUUAUGUCUGUCCUCGUUGUGGCUGAAGUUGGUACAGGGGAUUGCCAUAGGCUUCCUGGUAGGAGGGACUGGUUUCUGCCCACUGGUAGGUGGGGCUGAUUCCUAUCCCUCUGGUGGGUAGGGUUUUGUCUCUGGGUGAGAUUAGAGGCAGCUGUGUGCCUGGGGGUCUUUAGGGAGCAAGUGUUUACUGAUGGGUGGGGCUGUGAUCCCACCUGGGUUACUGUUUGGCCUGGGGCUUUUCAGUGCUGAUGGGUGGGGCCAGAUUUUUCCAAAAUGGCCACCUCCAGAGAAACACAUGCUGAUGAAUAUUCCUGAGAGCUCUUCCUCCAAUGUCCUUCCCCUACAACAAGCCACAGUCACCCCGUUUUCCAAGGAGAUCCUUCAAGAACUGCAGUCAGGUCUGACCCAGAUUCCUGUGGAGCCUUUGCUUUGCCCUGGGACCCGGUGCACAUGAAAGUCAGUGUGUGCCUUUCAAGAAUGGAGUCUCUGGCUCUUGAUUUGGCCUCCUUUUUGUCUUCUGGAGAAGGAUAUCUUUUUGAAAGUUUCCUGUCCAUUUGGUUGAAGGUUGUUCAGCAUUUGGUUGUAAUUUUGUUGUUUUUAUGAGAGAAGUUGAGCUCUAGUCCAUCUAUUCCUCCAUCUUAAUCCCGUCUCCAAGAAACAGUAUUUUAUAUUUACUUAUAAGUAAGUGGUAAUAGCUUUACCAUUUGCACACUUCUGCGUGUAUAAUUUUUUUUUUUUUCAGAAUCGCUUUAGGAUCAAUUAUGAUUCUUCAUCUCUGAAUGCUUCAGUGAAGUAUAGGGAUAUUCUUUUACAUAACCGCAGUAUAGCUGUCAACUUCUACAUUGAUUUACAUUGAUUCAAUUUAUUAUUCAGAAUUCCUUUUUUUUCCAGUUCAUCUGACAGCGAAUCUUUUAGCAUUUUCCUUCACCAGUAUAGGGUCCAGUUAAGGUUAGAUAAUACACGUGGUUGUCGUACGUUUUUGACUAACAUGGAUCCUCUCCUGCACACAACGUGAGGGACAUUGUAGGCACAUCCCCUAUAGUGUUCCUUGUGUUGUGUUUGACAUUUUCUUGUGAUUAGUUUGACCUAGAAUAUGGCCUGGCAGUUGAUGUGUCCUCUGAUUGUCACAUCUGGAGGCCCAUGAUGAGUUUUUGUCCUUCAUAGGUGGUGUCAGUUUUGAUUACCUUGUCAGAGGGCAAGCUGUGGUCCAAUUUUUAGAUUGUAUAGUAAUGGUUAUAUUUUUCUUCCUUUGUAAUUAAUAGGUAGGUACUGGUAAGGCCAUGUAAAUGUCCAGCUCCUUAUCAAGAAUUUCUUCUGUAUGUCCUCUCCAUUGUUGAUUCUUGCCUACUGUAUUCUUCACCACUGCAAAAUGAUGGUUUUCCCAUCUAGCCCUCCCUACACACUGACCAGAUGUGGUUCCCUUCCCUCACACCUCCCUCCCUUCCUCCUUUCCCUCAUACCUUCCUUCCUUUCUUGUUGGCUAUGGAUCAUAAUUGCAUUUUAAAAAACGACUUAUAACUCAUCAUUGUACUUAAUUAUUUUGGUGUUCAAAUUGUCCUAGAUUUGAACAGUGGGAGCCACUUUGGGUAGCUCUGUGUCCUUUUGUCAUGCCCCUAGCAUUUUUUAAACUCCUCCUUACUUUCUGGCCUAACAAGGUGUUCCAGGCUCAUCCUUUGCCUCCUCUUUCCCAGCUCUGAAAUUAGCCAUCUUCAUGAGGAGCCCUAUUCCUUUUAGUGGCGAAUGGUAUUAGAGACCAAGGUCUGGGAUGGCUUGCUUUCUUAAUUCUUUCAACAGACAAAUAGGACAUUUUGAACUCUAUUCUGUAUGCAUUAGGAAGUUGAUAGAAUUUUAUUAAGCAGUGAAAUAUAUUUGGUAUGUAGGAGAGCUAAAAUUCUCCUCUGCCCUCUUUGGGUCUGUGGUACCGCUUAAGAAUUAGAUUUAAGACAUGGGAGUUCCCGUAGUGGCUCAGCAGAAACAAAUCUCGAUAGUAUCCAUGUGGACCCAGGUUUGAUCCCUGGCUUCACUCAGUAGGUUAAGGAUCUGGCAUUGGUAUGAGCUGUGGUGUAGGUCACAGACGAUGUUCGAAUCUGGUGUUGCUGUGGCUGUGGUGUAGGCCAGUGGCUACAACUCUGACUCAACCCCUAGCCUGGUAACCUCCAUAUGCUGCAAGUGUGUCCCUAAAAAGACACACACACACAAAAAAAAAAUUAGAUUUAAGACAGAUUAACAAGAGAAAAGCAUACAAAUUUUAUUAAAUUGUUAUGUGUGCAUGGGAGGCUUCACAAGAAAAUGAAGAUCUGAAAAAGUGAUGAGAACAGGAAGUGUUUACACCUUUUAUACAAAGAAACAAUUGUGAAGAAUUGACAAGACAAAGGUGCUUGGACUGAGGUGGUAAACGAAGUAAUUAGGAAGAUAAGGGUUAAUUUAAUAAGGUUUGUACAGAUUUCUCAGCCCCACAUCCUCUGUCUCCAGCAAUGAGAAUGUUGUCUUUCCUCCUGGUAUAAUGAGGGUGCCUUCCAUGUGGGAGUUGUAUCUUCUGCUUUCAGGAAGAAAAAGGAGGGUCAAAGUGAAAUGUUCUUGUACUUACUGUUUCUUAAAUACCUUUAAUUAAAAAUAAUCAGUAUGCCAGUGUGGCAUAUUUUGGGGUGAUAUAUUCUGGUUUCCUUUAGGCACACAGUAGGAGUCAAUAUUUGUUGAACAAGUAUCAAAAGGAAUGUUUUAGUAAGAUUAAUUUGUCAUUGUUGCAUGUGAUGUACUAAAACCAUAGGCGGAGAUCAGAUGAGACUGAUUUUAAUAUUUUAGGCACUAAGCAAUGUUAGGAUGCUGGCAGUGUGAACAGGGGAAAAAAAAGUGAAUAGGGAAGACCUUUCAAACAUGUCAACUUUUCACGUAUCUGUUUUGUUCUUACUACAUGCUGUGGACACAUUGGUGAGUAAAACAGAUAUGAAUUCCUGCGGUGCUUAGUAUCCAGGGGAGGGCAGAAGAACUCUUCAAAGAAUCCCAGAUGUGUAUGGUCACAUCCUUGGCUCAGUGUUAGGAAGGAGAGGCACAGAGCCCAGGGAGCCCCAGGGGCAUACAGCACAGCAGGAGGGCCCUGAUCUAAACUAAGACGUUAAGGAAGGUGUUUCAGAUUAGUUACACUUUUUUUUUGACUUAAUUUUUAUUUAUUUGUUUUUUUUUCUAGGGCUACACAUGCAGUACAUGGAAGUUCCCAGGCUAGGGGUGGAACUGGAGUUGUAGCUGCGGGCCUACACCACAGCCACAUCAACACUAGAUCCCAGCUGCUUCUGCAACCUACACCACAGCUCAUGGCAGUGCUGGCUCCAUAACCCACUGAGCGAGGCCUAGGAUCAAACCUACAUCAUCAUGGAUACUAGACUCUUUCAUUACUGCUGAACCACAAUGGGAACUCUGGUUACACCUCUAAGUUUGAUACAAUUAUUACUCAUUUAUUGAUGCAAAAUUAUUUAUUUAUUUAUUUACUUACUUAUUUAUUUUUGGCUUUUUAGGGCCACACUCUUGGCAUAUGGAAGUUCCCAGGCUAGGGGUGGAAUUGGAGCUGCAACUGCCAGCCUACACCACAGCUACAGCAACUUGGGAUCCAAGCUGUGUCUGCAACCUGCACCACCUACACUACAGCUCAUGGCACCACUGGAUCCUUCACCCAUUGAGCAAGGCCAGGGAUUGAACCUGCAUCUACAUGGAUACUGGUUGGAUUCAUUUCCACUUAGCCACAAUGGGAACUCCAUUGAUGCGAAUUUUAAAAAGUGGAAUUUUUUUCACACUGUAGAUUUAUUUUUAGUGUGUUAAUAAAAAAGAGACGUACCAAAGAACUGGGGGUAGAACUGUUUUCUUAUACUGAUGGUCUUUUGCUUGAGUUAGAGAGUUAGUAUAAGUGGUUCAGAACCUGAGAACUUGGGAGCCAGACUGUGUGGGGUGGCAUCUGCACCCCAUUUACUAGCUAGGUAGCUUUGGGUAAGUUACUUGACUUCUCUGUCUCUCAUUAAAAUGAUAAUAACAUUUGUACAUUUCUUAGAGCGUUGUCGUGACAGUGAAAUGAAUUUAUAUACAUAAAGGUCCCUAUGAUAGUAUCUGCCACAUAGUAAAUUCUCUAUAAAUGUUAAUUGCUGCUAAUGUUGGUUUUUUUGUUAUUAGUACAUAUUCUAGAUUUCUUUAAGGAAUGCUUUUCUUAUCACUCGUUUUAUUUAUUUAUUUAUUUAUUUUAUUUUUUGGCUGUGGCAUGCAGCAGCUUGAUGUGGGAUCUCAGUUCCCAGACCAGGGAUUGAACCCAGGUUGCAGUGUGCAGCAGUGUAAGCACCAAGUCCUAACCACUAGGCCACCAGGGAACUCCAUUAUUUCUUUUUUUAAAAAAACUUCAUGAGUGUGUGUCUGUGUGUAGACAGUCAUUCAUCGUACUGUUGAACAUUAAUUCUGUGCUAAUUACUGUGCUGGGCUGGGGGAUAAAGAGCUCUUGUGGGGUUUUAAUGGGGAGACAUACUUAAAUUAUUAUAAAGCAUUGUAAUAAGUGCUAAUAGAUACACUGAGGAAGAGUGUGAGCACAAAAGAAAAAGUAACUAAUUCUGUGGUAAGAGGUGAGGAAGAGAGAGAGUGGAGAUUGUCGAAGCCCUCACAGAAGCUGGAGUGACUCAGGCAAGGAGGAGUAAGGGAGAGAAGGCAUUUUCAGAGAUAGGGACCAGGCAAAUGCAAGAGCAUGAAGCAGCCUAGCAUAGCAUAGGGGAAUUUUAUUUCCGCAUGUGGAUAGGGGUAGUUAGAAGAGAUGAGACUGGAAAGGAUUUUGGACUUUGUAUAGAAGACACCAUGGAGCCAUGGAGAGUUUUAAAUGGUUGUAUUUGUAAUAAGGAAAACCCUCCAAAAAUAUUUUCCCCAGAUAGUCUUCAGAAAAAAUAAAUCUGGUGAGUCUGUCUUCUGUCUAAAAUCUUUUGAUGACUGCUCAGUGCCUGUGGGGAUGGCCAGACUCUGCCUUGGCAUGCAAAGCCCAUACUGCUCCGGUUUCUUCACACCAUUUCAGUCUCAUCUCCACAUACUUGCUUACAUACACUGACCUUGCCACCCUCCCUAAUUGCAUUUUUCAUCAAUUUUCAUGUUCUUUUAUCCCUUCAUUACUCUGUAGAAUGAAUUCUGCUCAGGGUGUCCUACCAUCAUCACCCGUCCCCAUUGCACAGUUUAGGAGUUGCUUGCUUUUUUCUCGUCUUCCAAAGCAUCCCAUGCUAAUAAAGAAAAUGGGCUUUUGAAUUGGACCAUCAUUUAAACCUUGGACUCCUCUACUCGUGAAGGGGAGAUCUUGUACAAAAUUUAAAGCUCUGUGACACUCUUCUGUUUUAUGUAAAUCGAGUGCACAAUGUACAGAUAAAUUACAUUGCCGUAGAAGGAUUACAUGAAAUACUGUGCUUGAAGCCUUCACCACAGUACCAGCAUUCGUUUGGUAUGUAGUAGCUAUCUCAUUACAGAUCCCUGCAGAAUUUAUUUACAUUGUUUUUGUGAUUUGUUUACCUGACUUCUCCCCAGCUGGACUGAGCUCCCUUAGGGUGGAGAUUUUGUUUUAUUUCUUAGUGUGUAGGGCGUACAUGAAUGUUGAUGCUUGGUAUGUGUUCAGUAAUAUAUGUUAACUGCUUGGUGGCUGUAUAGAGAGGAUGGCUCCAUAAAGGGAGAGACUAACUAGAAAGUAAUAACUUUUUAGUUCCUGAAGUUGUUGAACAUUACAAUCAUUUGAAAUCC
rnacentral:lncRNA from 1 species